rnacentral:lncRNA from 1 species
GAGUGGUACCUUGAUCCAAUUCGUUGGAAAAUUGGACGAAACGGCGAAAACCCGCCGAUUUGGAAGCUUGGGUCGCGCGGGUCAAAGGUGACCCAUUCCUCCUGUUCCCCCGUGCACCACUCUCCCUCCUUUCCCUCCUUUCCUUCCCCUGGUUGAUCAGUUUCUUCCUCUCUCUUCUUCUGAUUCGCUCGCAUCUUCUUCUUCUCCGAUUGGGCAUUUCUGCCCAGUCUCUUCUUCUUUUCUGUUUUCUGUUUCUUCUUCUCAUACACAUACACACACCAAAAACCUUUCCCUCAUCCCAGCCAACCAUUUCAUUCAUCAUUAAAUCUGGGCCGUCCAUUUUCAUAAAAGAAUUUCUAUAUUUUACUAAAAUUAUAAUUCCUUAAAAUCCCAACUUCAAACUUUAAUAACUUCUUCGAUAUAACUCCAAAUCACGAACCGUCUGCGCCCAUGCGUCCGUAACGACGAGUACUACCAGGAUAUGCCAAGGAAACAAAUCUUAGAUGGCACGACAUGGUGAUUAACCUCGAAUAAUGCACGUACCUUCAAAGGGCAUUUUUGUAAAAUCCUUUAUCAAAACUUUAAAAAUUCUUAAAAUUAGGGACGGGCUGUCACAAUCUACCCACCUUAAAGAAAUUUCGUCCUCGAAAUUUACACAAUCUUUACAAUCCAUCAAUAUCCAUGAAACAGCCCGAAACACAUCUCUCUCAUUCGAUUCUCUGAUUUUCAAGUAGUUUCUUCCACUGAAAGAUUCCUCCAUAAAUUUUCACCAAACUCAUAGUCUUAUUUCUCAGUACAUCAUCUUUCUAAUACAAGAUAGGCACUGGCUCAUCAUCAUACGUCAAAUCCAGAUUGACUUCCAAAGGUUGAGGAGGUAUCACUCGUGAAGGAUAUGAGGUUUAAUGUCGAAGUAUCGAAACAUAAAACAUAUCGUGCCCUUUCGUUGACUCUGGAGGCAACUCAGCCUGAACGUAACUUCACUGACUCGUUCGAUGAUCACAUAUGGUCUGAUGUAUCUAGGACUUGCUUGCUUUUCUUUUUAAAACGAAUCAUACUUUUCCAAGGUGAUAAUUACUUGAAUAUUCCAAAUAGUCUCAUCUACUAACUCAGGGCCUCGAAUACUAACCGUCCCCAAUUCUAAUAAUUUCGAAACACAAGACAUAGCUUUCCACGGCCUUAUGGCGUUACUCUAGGGAACAAACUGAAGGGACCACAUACCCAAGAAGUUUAUCAGAUCCCAAAUCUCUUUUUCCAUCAAACAAAUAAAUAACUGUUGCGCUUGUCUGGAAAGGUUGAUGUUCUCAUACUGAAGUAACAUACGCUGACGUCACCAGUCGAUCAAUUAUUAUUCAAAUUCCAACCUAACUAUUUGGUAUACGAGGAAGCUUGUCCAUGAAAUCCAUAGUAAUAUUCUCUCAUUUCCGCCGUGGAAUGGGAAAUGACUACAUUAUUCCAAAAGACUUAUUUCUUUCUGCUUUAACCUGAUGACUGAUGAUACGCUUACUAACAUACUUCGCCAUUUCUCUUUUCAUACUCGGUAAAUAGUAAAAUGUUCGAAUGAUAAGAUACGUUUUAAUACCUUCAUGACGCCUUGCAUAAGCUGCACCGUACGCUUCGUCCAUAACUGGUUUCUUUAAUUCCAUAACAUUAGGUAUAAACACCUUGUUCUCUUGCAUAAGCUUGCCAUCUGAUUCUCUAACUCUAAGGUCUUUCUUUUUCCCGUUAUUCCUUGCAUUAAAUAAAUUCUUGAAUUUCUUCGUCAAACGCUUGAGUCUCGAGUACGAUCUACCAAAUGGGUCCAACUUGGAAAUUAGCAAGGCUUCUUCUCGAUUUUCGAUACCAACUUUACUCCAGUAGAUUUCAAAUCCACAAGAAGAUGAACAUAGCAAGCGUACCAAGCAUUAAUUCUCACUGGGGUCUUCCUACUAAAUGCAUCAGCCACAAUAUUAGCUCGACCACCCUAGUCGCACAAUCAUAAUCACUAAGCAACUCAAUCCACCUUUGUUGCCUAAGAUUAAUAUCUCUCCGCGUAAACAUAUAUUGGAGACUCUUAGGAUUCAUUAAAAUCUUGCAUUUCUCACCAAUAAUAUAAUGUCUCCAUAACUUCAAAGUAAGAAUGAUAGCCGCCAAUUCCAAUUCACAAGUAGGGUAAUUCGUCUCAUGAGAUCUCAAUGGCCAUAAAGCAUAAACAAUCAUCCUACCAUGUUGCAUCAACACGCAUCCAAGAACAUUCAACGUAGCAUCACUAUAAACCUUAUAAUUACCGCUAUAAUCUGGAAGCGUUAAAACAGGCGUGAAGUGAGAUAAUACUUCAGCUGCUGAAACCUUGCUCACAAUUUCAUCCACUCAAACCUAACCUUUUUUUCUCAUCAAUCUCGCCAAAAGCCAAGCAUUGAUUAAAAUCUUGGACGAACUAUCGAUAAUAUCCUGCUAAUCCGAGAAAACUCUGAACCUCAGUCACGGUUCGCAAUUGUUCCAAAUUCUCAAUCGUUGCUACUCUUUUAAGAAUCCACUUGAAUACCUUAAGUAGAUAUAAUUAAUUUAUCCAACAUUAGCAUUUGUUAAACUUAGCAUACAUCAACAUUCCCUCAAUCUUUGCAACACCAAUUUAAAAUAUCUAGCAUGCUCCGUUCUAUUCUUAUGAAUCUCGUCAAUGGCAAACAAUAACAACCCGGUCUAGAUAUCACUGGAAUACUUCCUUCAGCAAACUCAUAAAAAUAGUAGGUGCAUUCGUCACUCCGAAUGGCAUCCCAACUUGAAAUGACCAUAACGAGUCCUGGAUUCAGUCUUAUGAACAUCCUCACUGCUAAUCUUCAACUAAUAUUAUUCAGACCUCUAGUCAAUCUCAUAAAGUACCCAGGCGCCUUAGAGCUGAUCAAAUAAUCAUCAAUACACAACAAUGGAUAACGGCUCUCAAUCGUUAUCCGAUUCAAUUACCUAAUAUCAAUGCCUAGCCUUAAUGUCCACUUUCUUCCUCACAAAUAAACCGGAGCUUUUCCAAUAUGAUGAAUUAAGUUGAAUGGAACUUUUAACUCAACUUGAACCAAUCUCUAACAUAAGAUUUGCACCUAGAGACAAUUCAAUAGUGAAACCCACAUCUCUGCCUGGCGGCAAUCUAGGUAAGUCAUCUGGGAAUACACCAGGAAAAUGUCUAACCAUCUUUACAUCUUCCAUACUAUUAGGAUCAACAUCAUUUAGCACCAUAUGAACUAAAUAUCUUAGCAGCCUUUUGAUAACAAUCUUCUUUGCUCUCUCAACAGGAAUAAUGGCAUGACUCACUCCACUUUGCUUACCCCCAAGAGUAAUCUCUAGUCAUCUAGGUCGACAAAAAUUAACUGAUUCUCCAUAGCAAUCUAGCUUGGCACAUUUAUACUGCACCCACUUGUGCCAAAAAAUCACCUCAAAAUCCAUAAUAUCCAACGGAAUAAAAUUCACUGACAUGACAUUUUUCACCAUCACUGGACACCCUGAAUAAACCAAAUCAACAUAAAGUGCCUUACUUGUUUACUUACUUAACGAAUCCAACAAAUAAGUUAUAAAUAUUACGGUCUGCAGCCCGCAAUACAAAUAACUCACUGUUGUCUCGAUAAGUAAGUAACAAUUCCUGAAGGGUGUAAUAUUAUCAUCUUGUUCUUCCUUAGAAAUACAUAAAUACGCCUCAAUCGUGCUCCAACAUUACUUUCUUUGGCAACAUCGACCAUAAUAAGAAAUAUAUCAGCCGGAGUUAGCUAGAAUGACAUGUACGGCUGAGUCUACAACUCGACCAUCCAUGCUAGCACAUAAGUCGGAGUCACAUAUAGUGACCUGUACGACUUACUCGUCAAUUUUUCCAAGUGAUAUGUUAAGGAAGACUGUUGGGUAACAACUGAUUCCAGGGACAAUUCAUACCUCUAUGUCCCAUCCGUCCACAUGAACACAUUCACUGAUUCCCACACUCUCCAAAGUGUCUAAUAUUAUACCUAUGGCACAAAGGUACAUUUCCCUUACUCGAGUCACCUUGUCUUUAAGAUCUGGGAUCACCCGUAAAUUUAUCACUUCGCCUCGAACCAGUGGCACUAAAACCUCAGCUGGGAAAAUUAGCUCUAAUUUCACUUCCUUUGAAGCUCUGAGUCCUUCGACGUCCUUGAUAUGACGAAUCUUUAACUUUAUCGUCUUAUUCUUAUUCUCAUUCCUUUCUUAUUCCUCUUUACUCUCGCCGAUCAUAUUCUCAAAGUCCUCAAAGCCCAACAACAUCUCGUAAACUCCUGGUAAAAAGUACAAUGGAUUGUGGUCGUCAAAGAACGCCAAUUCUUCUUAUUAUCCAGCCAAAAACGACAGAACACCUUGACCGGAUUAGCAACAACAUCUGAAUGGAAACAAGGCAAGUCUGUAUUCAAAUUUAACUUAUAUCCAGUUUCAAAAGUUCCUUUAGAUAAUAGACUGAAUCAUAGUGACAAUAAUUUCCCCAAAACUACUAUAUCAGGGAAAUUAGGCUUAUUCGAACUACGUGGCUCGCUACGAGGCGGUAUAGUUCUGACAGAAGACACUAGGAAAUUCUCAAGAUGUCCAGAAUUGCAACCUAGGCUCUGAUACCAACUGACACACCCCGUCCCGAAGGAGGGCGUGCUGGCCGUCACGUGAGAGUGACGUAACCAUUUACACAGUUCGGAAGCUUUAAAGAAUACAAUUACUAAGAUAACACACCCGAGGGUGAGUCAUACUUUUGUGAAUUCUGUUAGAACACCGUUGGAUUCCUCGUGGCCACCAAAGCUCUGCCAUCUAGGACCUGGAGGGGCGCAAAACAAAAUUGAGUGGGUCAGUAAAACAAAGUUUUUCGAAAACAUUUCAUUUAAAACAUUUCUAACCCCUCACCGUAAAACCUGUAUACUUUCCCAGAAAAAAAAAAUAUAUAUAUAAAACCAUAUGAAAUCUCAAAACUUAAAUCCCAAAUCUUUAACAUUUUUCAAGAAAAAUAUGCCAUGCCAUAAAUCAAAAUAUAAAUCAGGUGAAAUAAGGAAUCAAUCGGAGACCCUGCAGUUGGUCCUAUACGAUUAAUUCAAUAGCUCAAUAUCCCACUAAGCCGGAGUCACCACAGUGACCUAUACGGCCCUACUCUGCACAUCACUCGGAACUACGUAAGGUAGUCUAUACGAUGAAAGGUGUAAAAAUACGCUCUAGUGCUUCUCUCAUCAAUCAUCAGCGCGCAUAACUAAGGUCACCCACUAGUCGGAAUCACGCCUAGUGAUCUGUACGACUAGCAUGUCGGAACCCUCACAUGGUCUGUACGACAUCCACCUACUUGGAUCCAAGGCGAGCGUGCGGUGUGGUGAAUAAUAUAAGCACUAACACCUAGGGUGCAAGUUAUGAGCUCAAAACAUCUCAACAACAAACAAUUCAAUGAAUAAAUGAACUCACCUGACUUACCUGUGCCUCCACAGCACCAUGCAACAUGUAUGCAUCAUAUAUCAAUUCAUUCUUUUCAUAAACUUCUAUGCUUGGCAUUUCAAUUCAUACUUUUCAUAAACUUCUAUGCAUGGCAUUUAAAAACAUUUUCUCAUAUAAAUGCAUUUCUGGGAAAACAAUAGUAUAUAGGUAAUACGAAAACAAAACUGCCCACUCACCUGGAGUUCGCCCAACAACUUCCUAGCACCGUACAUCAAGGCGUCAUGAAGAUUAGCGCCUAGAACAAUAAUUAAAUCCAACCUCAGAAAUCAUGCCGAUAGAAUACAUAACUUAUAUAAGACACGUCUCUACGUAGUUCGAUCCGGAUGAUCUGCAACUCAGAUUUCAAAUCCGUAACUUCCAGAGGUCCACAAUAUACCUCUAGGACAACAUCCUAAAAUUUCAUUACCAUCCAACGGUCGGAUCUCCGUCAAUUUCCAAAACUAAGUGACGGUUAACAUUCUAUUUUAUGAACUUACAACUUCAAUUCCGGAAGAUCCGUAAAUUGGAUUCCCAAUCCGUAAGUUCCUAUAAUCCUCAAAUAUUACGUAUUACAACGUAUCAAAGUUUGAUGACGAUCCAACGGUCGGAUCGUCAAUUCACAUUUUCACCUAACCAUGAAUCGUAACCAACUUAGGUUCAAUUAUUCAAUUUACGUCCAUCAAUUAUCAAAACUGAACCUAGAACCUUAAUCACAUGCUAAUAAUGACAUUGGCGGGCCAUUGGCCACGCACCGCCGCGCGGGCCGCCGCGGGUGGCGGUUGGCCGCCCCGGCUCGCCGGAAAAUUCAACUAUUUCCAAAAAUUACCAAAAUUUGCAGAUUUGAAGAUCUCAAUGAGUAGAACAACUUUCAUACCUGUGGACAAGGCCAAUUGGGCCUGGAAGUGCUUCAAUUUCACCAAAACCGUGAAGAACCCUAGAAUUUGGUGUUUCCAAUUCGACCUUCAAACUUGUUCCAACGCCUCUACUACCUCUUGGGCUUUGUUCUAGGUCCUAAAGGAAUGCUAAUGAUGUUAGUAAUUGAAAGAAAACAUUUCAAAAUUUCAAGAAUUUAAACAAAAGGGUCGCGGCACCCGUGUGGGUGUUCUUCGCGAAAUCACAACGAAAUUCAAUGAUUCUUGGGGUGAAACAUAAAGAGGGAAGGCCUAGAUGUUGAUUGGGAGUGGUACCUUGAUCCAAUUCGUUGGAAAAUUGGACGAAACGGCGAAAACCCGCCGAUUUGGAAGCUUGGGUCGCGCGGGUCAAAGGUGACCCAUUCCUCCUGUUCCCCCGUGCACCACUCUCCCUCCUUUCCCCCCUUUCCUUCCCCUGGUUGAUCAGUUUCUUCCUCUCUCUUCUUCUGAUUCGCUCGCAUCUUCUUCUUCUCCGAUUGGGCAUUUCUG